CCAAUAGGGCUGCUGAGCAGGUUACUUUGAUAUAGUAGAAUGUAAAUUUUAUUUCGUUGGU
rnacentral:tRNA from 1 species